rnacentral:rRNA from 1 species
AUUGAACGCUGGUGGCAUGCUUUACACAUGCAAGUCGAACGGUAACAGGCCGCAAGGUGCUGACGAGUGGCGAACGGGUGAGUAAUGCAUCGGAACGUGCCCAGUCGUGGGGGAUAACGCAGCGAAAGCUGCGCUAAUACCGCAUACGAUCUAUGGAUGAAAGCGGGGGACCGUAAGGCCUCGCGCGAUUGGAGCGGCCGAUGUCAGAUUAGGUAGUUGGUGGGGUAAAGGCUCACCAAGCCGACGAUCUGUAGCUGGUCUGUGAGGACGACCAGCCACACUGGGACUGAGACACGGCCCAGACUCCUACGGGAGGCAGCAGUGGGGAAUUUUGGACAAUGGGGGCAACCCUGAUCCAGCAAUGCCGCGUGCAGGAAGAAGGCCUUCGGGUUGUAAACUGCUUUUGUACGGAACGAAACGGCUCUGGUUAAUACCCGGGGCUAAUGACGGUACCGUAAGAAUAAGCACCGGCUAACUACGUGCCAGCCGCCGCUGUAAGAC